UACGUAGGGUGCGAGCGUUGUCCGGAAUUAUUGGGCGUAAAGAGCUCGUAGGCGGUUUGUCGCGUCGGCCGUGAAAACUUGGGGCUUAAUCCCAAGCCUGCGGUCGAUACGGGCAGACUUGAGUUCGGCAGGGGAGACUGGAAUUCCUGGUGUAGCGGUGAAAUGCGCAGAUAUCAGGAGGAACACCGGUGGCGAAGGCGGGUCUCUGGGCCGAUACUGACGCUGAGGAGCGAAAGCGUGGGGAGCGAACAGG
rnacentral:rRNA from 1 species